rnacentral:rRNA from 1 species
CGCCUCUUGAUUAAUCAUAAGAGGUCUAGCCUACCCAGUGACAUUAGUUCAACGGCCGCGGUAUCCUAACCGUGCGAAGGUAGCGUAAUCACUUGUUUUUUAAAUAAAGACUUGUAUGAAAGGCUUCACGAGGGCCUAACUGUCUCCUUUUUCUUAUCAGUGAAACUGAUCUCCCCGUGAAGAAGCGGGGAUUCUUCUAUAAGACGAGAAGACCCUAUGGAGCUUUAAACUUUACAACACCUGCCUUCCACUACCACUUCCAGAAAAUUAUACCCCUACAGCAGCCUGUUUGUGAGCUUUCGGUUGGGGCGACCCCGGAGAACAACUAAUCCUCCGCAAUGAAUAGAUUCCUCUUUAGUUAAAAGUCACAUCUUAAUACACCAGAAAACUGACAUAUAUUGACCCAAAAUUUUGAUCAACGAACUAAGUUACCCUAGGGAUAACAGCGCUAUCCACUUUGAAAGUUCCUAUCGACAAGUGGGCUUACGACCUCGAUGUUGGAUCAGGGUAUCCUAGUGGUGCAGCCGCUACUAAAGGUUCGUUUGUUCAACGAUUAAAACCCU